CUGCUGAAUGUGCUGAAUGUGGUGUGUGUGAUCGUGGGGCUGCUGUUCUUCAGUUUGGCCUUGUUGACCUUUGCUUUUUGUCAGUGGGGUCCUGGAGUGAAUAAUGUGGCCCGAAUCAACAUCUGCAUCAGUCUGCUGUUGGCUCACCUUCUGUUUCUGCUCACACAACAGUUCCUCAGCCUCAUUCGCCGUCAGCAGAUGUUGUGUGAGGUGAUAUCAGGCCUUCUGCACUUCCUCUUUCUCUCCGGGUUUGUGUGGAUGUUCAUUGAAGCUGUGCUGCUCUUCAUCUGUGUGAAGAACCUCUCCCAGAUCAGCUCCCAAAAGAGGAAUGUGCUUCGCAAUAUAUUCCUGUGUGUGAUAGGAUAUGCUGUUGCUCUGGUUGUGGUGGGCAUUUCUGCGGCAGUGGUUCCCAAAGGCUAUGGAAGUGAAAAAUGCUGGAUUAAAAUGGAUAAAGGCUUCAUCUGGAGUUUUUUGGGACCUGUUACCGUCAUACUAGCUGUAAACGUGUUUAUCUUUUUAACAGGGCUUUUAUUUAUAAGGAAAACAAUGUGAUUAAUACAGUUUUGUUUUACUCUGCAGUUAAACGUAAUUCUCUUCAUUGGCAUCGGGGUCAGUUUGAAGUCAGCCUUCAAAAAACUGAACUCUGACGUUUCACAGCUGAAUCAAACCAAGAUUAUAAUGUUUAAAACCCUGGCUCAGUUUGUGGUUCUCGGUUGCUCCUGGAUUCUGGGUUUCUUCACUAAUAGCAGUAAAGUGCUGGAGAUCCUCUUCCUGAUCUUGAACUCCCAGCAGGGAACCUUCAUCUUCCUCAUCUACUGCGUCCUCAAUAAAGGGAUCAGGCAAGAGUACAGGAAGCUCUUCACAUCUCUUUACUGUGGACUCAAACCCAAGAACAUCAAUUGGACCUCAGAAAAUACUGAGGACAGCACAAUUCAGGGUCUGCAAAUGAAGUAACAUUCUAUCAUUUUUUGCAUAUUAAGCAUCCCAGCUAUGACUUUCACUAUCUAGCAUCUCAUACAGAACUUACUGUAUAUUAUUUAGUGUCAAUACUGUAAUGUUCUGUUUUCAUUGUUGAAAGUCAUGAUAUCAAAUCAUCAUAUCAAAUCUUUUUUUUCUUACAUUUUAUUUAAAACUCUUUGCAAAAACAGCUUAACAUAGUAUCACACAAUCCAAAUUUAGCUAUUUACUUUUAUUCAAAAGGAAAAGUACAGUGUCCAUCGACUACCUCGUUGCCUUUGUUACCUGCAAGAAAACAAAUCUACCUUGUUUUUUUUAUAACUAUUUUUCAUAAAUUAGUUGUUUAGCUGCAUUAAGGGCUAUGUACUAUACUGUAAGGGAUCUAUGAGUUGUGCAGGAAUUAUUUAGGGCCAGAAUUAUACUGGAAAUGAUUUAACAAUGGCUACUUACUGUAUGUAACUCUCUCACACUGUAAAUUAA